UCUGUGGAAAGUAAUAUGGAGAUACCUCAAAGAGCUUGCAAUUGGACAUCCAGUGACCAUGCAGCUGUCCACUAAAGGAAGCCUGGUGUUCCUGGCAUCUCGCCCCAAGAAGCUCUGUCACCUUUGCUACUCCAGCUGUAUGCCUCAAGAGGGACAUGCUAUACUUUUUUUAAAAACACCCAUGUUUGUGCCCUUUGGAAGUAGAACUUGAAAGCCACCAUAACAGUACUUUCCACGGAACAGUGCUAUGCUUCUGUGCAGCUACCAGGUAGGAAAUUAAUAAUUACACAGCAGAGAAACAGGGUACCAACACCAUACUUUCUGCUUAGGAAAUGGAAUCACCCAAUCCAAGUUCAAUGUGGUUACCUUCAGCUAAAGAAUUGAGACCAGAAGAACCCCUGCAAGAACCAAUGUCCCUCUUCCUAUAAUGGAACUGUCAGUAGUUCAGGUACUACUAGAUUGGUGUAUUAAAGAGUUUGAGGUUGUACCAAAUGGUUUUAGGCAUAACUGCUGUGGUUUAUUGAAUUAUAAAAUGUUGAUUAGAUAAUGAGAAGGUUAUUUCCUUUCCAAAUCCUUUUCACUCAUUCUUAUUACUGUAGGAAGGAAGACUUAAUUGGUCUUUCACAUGUCUAUAUUACUUGCUAAAUGCCAUUUUAAACAAAGAGAGAGCAGACCUCAAGCCCAGAGCCUUUAGUAGGACAUGUAAACUUUAGAUAAAUUUUAAUCUGUUUUGCCUUUUUUAUUGUAUAUUUUUUAUACAAUUAUCUUCCAUGCAUGAUAAAUGACACUGGUUCCAAAUUACAGUAAUGAUAUAAAGGUUUAUUUUUAAACAUAUAGCCCUUUAAAUAAAAAUGCAAAUCUGCUAGAAAUAUUAAAGGCAAGCAGUACAAAUGGUCCACAGAUGUACCUUAAACUGUGAAGUUGAUAUAGGCAUGGUCACAGUAUUAAUGAGACUGCUACUGUUAUUAGUAAGAGAGCUUUAUUAAAGGAAGCCUGAUCCUAGUCGGAGGAGAGCCAUAGAAGUCCACCUUGUGCGUCAUCAGCCUGCAAUUCAUAUAUGUUUUGGUUAUUACUACCCAUAAAGCAUAUGCUAUUCUAUUUGGCACUCACUCAAUAGAAGGUCAUAAAAAAAAUCACACUGCACGGAAUAAAGCAAAGUAAAACAAAUACUAUAAACCUAAAGAAGGCAAACAAGCAAGGAUGAUAAUGCAACUAACCUUAUUAGUCAGAAACCUGCUUACCUGAAAAGGUCAACAUACACUCACCAUUUAUAAAUAUAAAUGUGAAAUUAGCUAUGUAAGAAAAUGGGAAAAGGGGUACCAUACUAAUAAUAAUAGAAAGAGGAAGCCACUUUAUUUUAAUAAUAGCUAAUUUGAUCAGAGGAUCAUCUUAUAAGGGUAAUGGAAAGGAAAUUGGUUGGUUUGAAAUAACCACAAUGUAAAAAUGAUAUAUAUUGAACUAUGAACAAUGUAUUUACAUUAAAAUAACAUUUCUUUGCUAAGCCUCUUCAAAAAUAUUUUCCAUUAUUUUAUUUUAGUUAUUCUGAAGAUAUACUUUAGAGAAGUGGUACUUAAUUUCUGCCAGUUAAAACUUCUCCAAUUGACAUACUAAAAAAGGGACUACGGAGGGUGUUGUUUCUCAAAUUUCUCCUUAAAAUCUUGGCAUUUCUUUUAUAAGCUUAGGUCUUGAUGUAUAAUUUAAUCGGCAUGAAUUCUAAAAGAUAAGGAUUAGUCAUCAGAGUUUAAUAAGCUAGUUAUUCAGUAAUUUCCUAAGAAUAAUAAAUAUAUUUAUAUCAUUUUUUUCAGAAAUAGAACAGGUAUAAAUAAAUUAUUUUCAAAGUAUAAACUAAAUAUCAUUAAAUGCAUAUAUUUGACACAUUAUUGUGACACUAUAGUAUACAGAAUCAUUCAUAUAUAUGAAAGUAAAACUACACUAAUCUAAUUUCCUAAUCUAGUAAACCCAGAACACACACACACACAGAGUCAUGGUGACAAAGUCCAUAGAAAUGAUUAAUCAUUGAGUAUGAAAUUUUUUUUUCCAUUAUGGCAAUCAAAAACAAUAUCAUCAGGACUUCUAGGCUGAAAAAAUAUAGAUUCCCCCUCAGUGUUCGCAUAAGAGGCACAGCAAUAGAAGGUAUGUUCCUCAAUCAAUCAAACAACAAAUAUUUACUGAAUGCAUAUUAUACAGGUGACACUUGGACGUUCACAGUGAAUGCAACGAUUGAUGCAUGUGGAGUUACUGUUUAGGAGCUUACAGUCCAGCUACACAGUCAAAACACAAACAUGAAAUAGAAGACAGCAUCAGCUAGAAAAUGCCAAAUAAAUGGCAACACGUUGUGUUUGAGAGUCCAAGGAAAGCCCUCCCCAAAUGAAAGCAGACCAUUUUGGCCCUGUUUACAUCUAUUAUGGAGAACACAAAGUCAGAAUACUAACCCAAAUGUUUUCACAUUUUUCCUCUCACUAAAGCUUACAUAUUAUCUAUAAUAUAUUGAACCAAAGAAAACAAACUCAGAAAUGCCGUUAUAAAGAAGAAAAGACAACAUUUGCUUCUGGUCCCAGAGAUAUAUCCAUUCUAAAAGCUGAUAUCUUGUUAAAUCAAAGAGACUAUUCUACAACAGUGGGAUUUGGCAUGAAGGCUGGCGGAGGAGUGGAAGGAGAUUGUUUUGAGGUAAGACGGGCCUUGGUCUUCCUAUCUGGCCACCCGGUCACUCACAGUCAGCCUGUGAGUCAGGCCAGAUCUGGUUACCAAGCAGUUUGCUGCUCUGUUGCUUAGUGACUUGAGCCUACAGACCAUCAUUCCCAGCUGGCUCUUUUGGAGCCAAACCUUAAUAGAUUUCUGACUUGAUCUUUCUCCUCAGAGCUCGUCUUUUAUGCCUUUUUCUCUGAAUGAUUAAAUAUAAAAUUAUCCUCUGAUUGGCUUUGUUUUUAUGUGUCUCAUUUAAAAACCACUGUGAAUCAGACUGUUCUCUGUUGACUCUGAAACC